GAUGAGCUUGAUGGGUACAAGAUCCUAGAUCCUAUUACGUACAAUUAUUCAUUUAUGUAUUUAUUCAUAUUUUGCAAUCCGCUUAUUUGGAUCUUCGAGUCCUCUUUUUCUUCCUUACAUGUAUGCAUAUACAAUUUUCUAUAUUUUGUUAAGACUUGUUUGAUCUAUUUUCUAGGUGGACUAUGUGUGAGGAUGGUGUAUAAGCGAGGUGAAGAAUGUGUAUGCGUUUUCAUGGGUCAAAGCAUGCAGGUUAGGCCAUUUACCUUUAUGUCAUCAUUUAUUUCAUAUUAUAUUUCGUUACAUGAUUUUAUUGUUGCAUGUCCUUACUUGUUAUCCAUACCUUACUUGUUAUCUGUUAUUUAGUUGUUACCUCUUUCUAGUUAUUUAUUUCUCCCUCAAUAUCUGCUUACCUGCUAUAUGUUCUUACUUGUACUUAUAGCAUAUCUUCAUUGUCUCGUAUCUUUACUUACCUUUACUGUCUUUACCUUUCUUGGUGCAUUGUAUUGACUUAUACGUGACUGUGUGAGUCCUUUAGCUUUUAUUGUAUUAAUGGGUUGUCGAGGUUUGCGAAUACGAGGUAUUAGUCAUUCUCUGUUUGUACUGGUCGUUCCUUAAUAUUCUAUACACUUUAUUUCCUUUUGUGUUUGAGAUUACAGAAUUUAUUUGCGUUGAGUUAUUUAUGAUAAUGAGUUGAUAUAGGGAGUAGGCUACGCGCUACAAAAGUAUUGAAAUAACUGAUAAUAGGAAAGGGUUGUACGCCACAACAGAUAUUGAUAUAAUAUUAAGAUCGGAUUGCAUAUUCGCAAUAGAUAUUAUAAUAAUAUUGGGAUCGGGUUGCGCAUUGCAAUUGAAUAUGAUAUGUAGUAUUUAUUGUAGUUGUGGUGGUCUAAUUCUGAAUUGUGAUAUGAGGUUAUGAAUUAUUUUUAUUCUAAGGUCCUCUGUUAAUUAACAUUUUGGUACCGUUAUUAUGAAUUUAUUCAUUUCUCUACAUUUCUAUUGUUUUAUAUGAAUUAUCCGUACAGGUAUUCACUGAGUGCCUUGUUAUAGCUUCGUAACUACUUUGUCGAGGUUACGCUCGACACUUACAUAGUACAUAGGAUCUGUUAUACUUAUACUACACUUUUGCACUUCUUAUUUAGAUCUAGGGGUCGCUCCUAGCGGCGCAUAGGGGAGAUUGGUCGGAUAAGACUUCUUCAAAAGACUUGCGGUAGAAUUGCAAAACAGUCGUAGUCCUUGAAGCCCGCUUCUAUCUUGUAUUACUAUUUAUCUUGCUUCAGAUCGUUGUAUUUUAUUUCAAACCAUGUUUGUUGUAUUCUAGACACUCACGUACUUGUGAUUCUGAAUUUUUUGGAUUAGAAUAUACUGUGUUACUCAUGUAUUAUAGUUUUUAUUGGCCAUUAAUUAUUAAUAUUAGUUUAAAACUAGUUACUUAUUCUACUAAUGUUAUCUUGACUAGCAAGUGGAUGUUAGAUGCCUUCAUGGUACCGUGGUUGGAAAUUUGGAUCGUGCCAAGUUGAUAUCAGAGCUCUAAGUUCUCUUGGUCUCACGAAUCAUGAGCAAGAUUAGUACAAUUUUGAAGAUCGGCACAGAUAUGUCUGCACUUAUCUUCUAGAGGCUAUAUGACUUUAGGAAAUUUCACUUCUUUCUUUCUCUACCGCGCGACUUUAUUCUAUCAUUGGCUUUGAAUUAUUAUAUUGUUCUUCUCUCAUAGAUGAUUAGGACAUGCACAACUUCCACAGCCAGUCAAAAUCAGAAGCACGGGGUUGUAGCAACUACAAGGGGCAGAGGCUGAGGCCGAGAAAAAACUAGAGCCAGAGGCAGAGCUCAUCCUAGAGCUUGCACAACAACACCUAUUGUAGAGCCUCUUAUCAAGCAGGAGAAUGAUAUCCCUACUACGGUCGCUCCAAUUGAACCAGAUUAGUUCCUAAAGAGAUGCAUUGCCACCCCCACACUUCGGGAUGCCCUAGUCUAUAUGGUCAAUUUUAUGAAGGGCAUGACCCAGCUCAGUAUAUUUCUUGUGGCACCAGCCGUUUCUCAGGCUAGGGGAGGAGUCUAGACUCCUGCUAUUCACACUCCAAAGUAGGUGACUUACGGAUAUGAGACUCCGGUAGUUCCAAUAGUUGGAGAAGUUCAGCCUGUCAUUGCUACAUAUUCCCGGAAGGGACCCUCAAUGUUGACAGAGCGGUUGAAUGGGUUGGACAGGUUCACCAAGCUAUUUUCUAUUCAUUUUAUAGGUACAUCUAUUGAGGACCCACAUGAUUUCUUGGACCAUUUCAUCAGGUGUUGUGAAACAUGGGCAUAGUGGAGUCCAAUAGAGUGCACUUUACAGUAUUUCAAAUGACUGGUUCUGCCAAGAGAUGGUGGAAGGGGUAUAUUCGGGGUAGGCCAGUAGGUUCACCUUCCCUCACAUGAGCUUAAUUCUCAUAGUUUUUCUUAGAGAAGUUCGUUACUUUCACUGAGAGAGAGGAUCUACUCCGAUAAUUUGAGUGCCUACAAUAGGGUAGUAUUACCAUUACCUAGUAAGAGACCAGAUUGGUUGAUCUAUUAUGCGAUGGAGCUAUCUUGAUCCCUUGAUAAGAGGAAUAAGGUGAGAAGAUUAAUAUAUGGCCUUACUUAUGGUAUCAGGUUGUAGAUGGUCAGAGACACUAAUGAUGAUAUUUCUUUUACAAGGUUUGUGGAGAUAGCUAGGUGGAUCAAGAGAAUUCGUGGUCAGGACAGAGAGGUGACUUCAGAAAGAGGCCUAGACAUUUCGGCGAUUUUGGUGGUGCCUCGUCUAGAGGCAGAGGUGCAUUUGGUAGAGGCCAACCUAUCAAGACCAUUCAGUUAGCACUUCAGAUGUCUCAUGAUCCUUCAAGUGGUCAUAAGGCAUAUGAUUCUCAUUCCGAGCAGCUAGUUAGUGCACCUUCAUAUCCAAUUAGUGAACCACCGCUGUAGAAUUACUAUGAUGGUUAUUCGAGUCAUCAGGAACCAUAUCAGACUCUGAAAUUAUGCCAAUCGAGGGGUUUCUUUAGUGCGAUGACGCAUGUCAUAUCAGGAGGUAGUGUCCUAGAUUGAGGAGUAGCAGAACACACCAGGGUGCUCAUGCCAUGAUUCCAACACCGGUUUCUCCACCACCCUCUCGGGCAAGUGAAGGUAGGGGUCAGGAAACAAGAGGUGGAGUCUAGUCAAUGAUAGGUUGUUAGAGAGAUAAAGGUCAAAUUGGUGGGGCUCUGCCACGUUGCCAAGCAUUUCUAGCUAGAUCAGGGGGGCAGAGUCAUCUUAUACGGUCAUCACAAGUAUUUUUCUAAUUUUUUAUAGAGAAACAUCAAUUAAUUUUGUUCGGGCUGUACUUAUUCAUUUAUGUCAUCUUAUUCUAAAUCAUAUUUGGAAACCUCUCAUGAUUCUUUGAGUACUCAUGUUUAUGUGUCUAUGCAUGUUGAGGAUUCUACUAUGGUUGAUCAUAUCUAUCACUCUUGUUUUAUCACUAUCAGGAGUUAUGAUAUUAGGAAUGACCACCUGUUACAUAAUAGGUAGAUUUUGAUGUAACUUUUGGUAUGGAUUAGUUGUCACUCUAUCAUAUUAUCUUGGAUUGUCACAGAAAGAUUAUGACGUUAGCUAUGCUGUGGUUGCCUCGAUCGGAGAGGAGAGGCACUCCUAGUCACACCAAUAGAGGGUCAUUUCAUAUGUGAAGGCUCGAGGUAUGGUUAAGAAGGGGUAUUUAGUGUAUUUUUCUUAUAUCUGUGAUUCUAGGGCCGAGGUGCCUUCAAUGGAUUUAGUUCCGGUUGUGAGAGAGUUUCUAGAGGUGUUUCCUAUAGACUUGUGGGCCAUGCCACCUGACAGAGAUAACGAAUUUUGCAUUGACUUGGUUCCAGGAACUCAACCUGUUUCUAUUCCACCAUACUAUAUAUUUAGUUGAACAAAUAUAAGGAACAAUUGCAGGAUUUUCAUGACAAAGGAUUUAUUCGACCUAGUGUCUCGCCUUUCGGUGUACUAGUAUUGUUGUGAAGAAGGUCACUAUCAAGAAUAAGCAUCUGUUGCUAAGGACUGAUGACUUUUUUGACUAGCUUCAAGGUUCCAAGGUAUUUUACAAGAUUGAAUUAAGGUCGGGCUACCAUUAGGUGAAUAUUAAGGAAUCAGAUGUCCCUAUGACAGCUUUUCGGACUCGGUAUGGUCACUACGAGUUCUUUGUAAUGUCAUUCGAGGUUGACUAAUGCCCCCGUAGCCUUCAUAGAUUUAGUGAACCAGUGUUCAAUCCUUAUCUGGAUUCCUUCAUAAUUGUCUUCAUUGAUGUUAUUCAUAUUUACUCCCAUAGUAGAGAGGAGCAUGAGCACCAAUUAUGGAUUGUACUUCAAACUUUGAGGAUCGUCAACUAUAUGUCAAGUUUUUAAAUUUUGAGUUCUAGUUUGACUCGAUUGCCUUUUUGGGCCAUAUAUCUUUCGAAGUCAACAAGGUGGACCCUAAGAAGAUUGAGGCAUUUAAGAAUUGGUCUAGACCUACUUCAGCUAUAGAGAUUCGGAGCUUCUUGGGUUUGGUGGGUUGUUAUUGCCUAUUCAUAGAGAGGUUCUCAUCAAUCUCAGCCCUAUUGACCAAGUUGACCCAAAAUGGUGCUCUUUUUAGAUGGUCCAAUGAGUGAGAGGUGAGCUUUUAAAAGCUAAAUACUGCGUUGAAUACAUCUCUAGUAUCGGUGUUGCCUACAGGUUAGGGACCUUACGCUAUGUAUUGUGAUGCGUCACAUAUCGAGCCUGGCACGGUAUAAAUACAAGACAUUAGAGUGAUUUCCUAUGCAUCUCGAUAAUUUAUGGUUCAUGAGAAGAAUUAACAUGUGCAUGAUCUUGAGUUGGCAAUCAUUGUCUAUGUACUGAAGAUUUGGAGGCACUAUCUAUAUUGCAUUUCAUGCUAGGUGUAUACUGACCAUUGAAGUCUCCAACAUCCGUUCAAGUAGAAUGACCUUAAUUUGCGGUACUAGAGAUUGUUAGAAUUGUUGCAAGACUAUGCUAUCAGCAUAUUUUACUAUCUAAGGAAGGACAAUGUAGUGGUCGAUGCAUUGAGUAGGAAGGUAGAGAGCAUGGACAGUUUAGCAUAUUUGCCGGUGGUGGAGAGACUACUAGCCAUGGAUGUUCAGGAUUUGGCCAAUCGAUUCGUGAGGUUGGAUGUUUCGGAGCCUAGCGGGGUUCUUAUUUGAGUUGUGGCAUGAUCACUGUUGUUGAAGCACAUCAAGGCUCUCUAGUUUGAUGAUCCUCACUUGUUGGUUUUGAAAUACACGGUGCAGUAGGGUGGUGCUAAAGUUGUGAUCGGAGACGAUAGUGUUAUGCUGCUUCAGAGCUGGGUUUUGUUCCAAUCUUGACGGGUCAGAGAGUUGAUUCUUGAUAAGGCUCACAACUUUAACAAUUCCAUUUACCUAUGUGUCACGAAGUUGUAUUUUGACAUAAACAUCACUAUUGGUGGCAGAGAACGAAGAAAGAUAUUAUUAGUCAUGUCUCUCUCUGUUUGAACUUUCAUAAGUGAAGUACGAGCAUCAGAAAUCGGGUGGUUUGACUCAGAGAUUACAGAUAACAGAGUGGAAGUGGGAGCGCCACUAUCAAUUUUGUGAUAGGCAUACCAUGGACCUUGAGGAAAUAUGAUGCAGUUCGGGUUAUUGUGGAUCAGUUGACUAAAUCUGCACACUUCAUUCUGGUGAUAACAUCCUAUGUUUUGGAACACUUGGCUUAGAUUUAUAUUUUGGAGGUUAUCCUCCUGCACGGCAUGACCAUUUCAAUCAUUUAUGAUCAGGGCACGUGAUUCACAUUGUAUUUUUGGAGAUUCAUUCAGCGUGAGAUGGGCACACUGGUCGAGUUGAGUAUCACAGUUCAUACUAAGACAGACGGAUAGUGCGAGUCCACUAUUCAGAUAUUGGAGGAAAUAUUGCAGGCAUGCUGUAUGGAUUUUAGGGGUUAGUGGGGCCAGAUUUACCUUUAUCGGAGUUUGCCUACAAUAAUAACUGUAAGUCGAGCAUUCAAAUAUCUCCGUACAAGGCCUUAUAUAUGAGGUGAUAUCAUUCGUCAGUUGGUUUGUUUGAGCCCGAUGAGGCUACAUUGUUAGGUAAUUAUUUAGUUUGUGAUGCUUUAGAAAAAAUUAAGGUGAUUCAGGAGAAACUUUGUACAGCUCAGUCCAGGCAAAAACAUUAUGUGUACUAGAAAGUUCCAGAAGUGGCUUACAUGGGGGGUGAGAAGUUUCUUCUCCAAGUGUCGCCUAUUAAGGGUGUGAUACAGUUUGAGAAGAAGGUCAAGUUGAGCCCGAGAUUUAUUAGCCCGCUUGAGAUCUUUGAGGGGCGUAGGGGGGUUUUUUCAAAGGUUUACAUUGCCUCCUAGCCUAGCAGGUGUAGAUCUGGUAUUUUAUGUUUCCAUACUUUGAAAGUACCAUAAAGAUAGGUCACAUGUUUUAGACUUUAGCACAAUGCAACUUGGUGAGAAUUUGACCUAUGAAGAAGAGUCGGUGGCUAUUCUAGACUGGCAAGUUAGGAAGUUGAGACCCAAGAGUUUUCCUUCUAUGAAGGUGCAGUAGAGAAGACAGCCUAUUGAGGAGUCUAUGUAGGAGUCUGAGUCCGACAUGCAUACUAGAUACCCCUACCUUUUUGCUAGUCCAGGUACAUUUUUAUGUCUAUAUGAGGACGAACAUUUCUUUUAGAGGUGGAGAAUGUGAUGAUCCGAUAGGUUGUUUUGCGUACUAGCCUUAAAUUUUGUGUUCCAAGACCUCUCAUAGCUUCAUUUCAUGUUUAUUGAUGUGUGUUCAUGGUCCGUGUCGCUUUUUGAAAAGCUUUUACGUGAAAUUUUCAAUAAAAUAUGUUUUUGACUUAAUAUGAGGUUAGGGUUGAGCAUGGCCAACAUUUCUGGUAAACUACUUCGGAUCGGUAUUUUGAUGAUUCAGGUAGCUUCGUAUGAUAUAUGUUUUAACUUGCAUGCAUGUUUUGUUGGGGUCCGGGGUGACCCGAACAUAUUUCGGUGCAUUUUGUGAAACAUUGAGAAAAUUGAGUUUAAAGUUGUAUUUCUUGAGUUUUAAUGGCCGAUUCUUGUUAUUAAAUAUUAUUUUUAUAAUUUGAGGUACCGAGCAAGUUUGUAGGAUGUUAUUACACUUUUGUUGAUGUUCGAAUUGGAGCCCGGGGGGUCACGGGUGAGUUUCGGAUGCAUUGCGGAUGAGUUUGGCACAACUGAUGCAUAACUGAUAUUGGUGUCAACCUCCAGAUCUCGCAUUUAUGAGGUACUGGUUGCAAAUGCAAGCCUCGCUUUUUCGAGUGACUGCUCACAUUUGCAAAAUAGGAACCGAGGCUGGGUUCACGUUCACUUUUGCGAUCUUUUCUGGGAUUGCUUUUGCGGCUUUAGAGUUGCAUUUGCAAAGUGCUUGUCGCAUUUGCAACUUUUGCAUGACAAUUGCACUUUUCACUUUUGCGAUAAGUGUUUUAGAUUUUUGUACAUCCCAACUGUGAACAGGAGUUCACAAUUGUGAUGUCUGUAGCUGGGUAAAAGAAGAAAAAUUAAGACUUAGAUCAUUUUACACUAUUUUUGAACCCUAAGCUCUCUAGAGGUGGAAGAAUGCUUUCUUCCCAAAUUCAUUGGAAGAUUCUUUAAUUGGUUUUCAAUCAAUUUCAAUUACUUUUCAUGAGUUUUAAACAUCAUAUCUUAGAAUUUCAUGGUAUAAAUUAGGGGUUUUGGGUACAAUUUAGGGAUAUUAUGAUAUUAAGAUUUAAACCUCAAAUUGGGGCCAAAUUCGAAACAAAUCACAUAUAUGGGCUUGGGUAUGAAUUGGGUAAUUGAGAUUUGGUCCAAAUCUCGGAUUUAGACCAUGUGAGAUUGAGGUUGACUUUUGUUGAUUUUUUCAAUUUCAUCAAAGAUUGAACCUUUUUUAUUUGUGAGUAGUUUCUAAAGAUUAUUUUGGAUUAUUUAAUAGAUAAUUGGCUAGAUUCAGUUGGGUUGGAAAUUUAUUCUUAAGAAAGACCAUGAUUGAUUAUUGAUCUGGUUGCGAAAAGAGGUAAGUGUCGUAUUUAAUUUUUAGUUGAGGGAAUUAUGACUCGUUUGGUCUAUUUGCUACGUGAACUAUGUAUGGGGACUAUGUAUAUGUGAGAUAAUUAGUAUAUAUGUGUUUUCACGGGUCAAAGCAUGUGGGUUGGGGCAUUUACCUUUAUGUCAUUUAUUCUGUGUUAUAUUUUGUUACUUGCAUCUAUUACGACAUGUCCUUACUUGUUAUCCAUACCUUCCUUGUUAUAUGUCAUUUAGUUGUUACCUAUUUCAAGUUAUUCAUUUCUCUGUAUAUAUUUGCUUACAUGUAUUAACUGCAUAUUUUUAUUGUCCCAUGUCUUUACUUUACUUUGUUGUCUUUACAUUACUUGUUGCAGUUUAUUAUGUUAUAUCCGAUUGUAUGAGUACUUUAGCUAUUUUUGUAUUAAUGGGUUGUCCAGCUUUGUGAAUUUAAGGUAGUAAUCAUUCUCUAUUUUCACUAGUAGUUCCUUGACGUUCGAUAUGCUUUAUUUUCUUUUGUGUUGAGAUUCAAGAAUUUGGUUGUAUUGAGUUAUUUAUGUCAAUGAGUUGAUUGAGAAUGGGUUGGGCGCCACAACAGUAUUGAAAUGAACUUAUAAUGGGAACAGGUUGUAUGCUACAACAGAUAUUUAUAUGAUAUUGGAAUAGGGUUGCACGUCGGAAUAAAUGUUGUGAUGAUAUUGAGAACGAAUUAUACGUCGCAACUGGGGUAUGAUGUGUGGUAUUUGUUGUAGCUAUGGCUGUCUAAUUCAGAAUUGUGAUGUGAGGUUAUUAAAUGUUGUUAUUCUGGGGUCUUUUGUUCGUAUAACUUCGGGUCCCAUUAUUAUGACUUUUAUACAUUUCUCUACGUUUAUAUUAUUUUCUAUGAAUUAUUUGUACAAGAUUUUAGUGUGUGUCUUGUCAUAUCCUCGUCGUUAUUUCGUGGAGGUUAGAGCAUAUGGACUCGAUUGUAUUCAUUCUAGACUUUUGCACUUCUUGUGUAGAUACAGGUCCUACUGGUGCAUAUGGGAGAUUGCUAGAAUCCUACUUUUUCAAGAGACCUGAGGUAGAGCUGCACGUCGUUUUUAGUCCUUCAAGUCCCAUCCUUUCUUGUAUUACUAUAUAUGUAGUUUUAGGUACUUGUGUUUUUUUU
rnacentral:lncRNA from 1 species